ACGGCCAAACCUAGACGAAAACACCAGUUCCCGUCCGAUCACUGCAGUUAAGCGUCUGAGGGUCUCGUCUCGUUAGUUUAGGAGUAAAUGUAUGCACUAGUACAGGCAAAGAGUCAAAGCAGAAGUGGAAAAGUUUGCUACCUUACCU